rnacentral:lncRNA from 1 species
AUGGGUCACUAUAGCGCACUAUGGGUCUCUGUGGGUCUCUGUGGGUCGCUAUGGGGCACUAUGGGUCUCUGUGGGUCACUAUGGGGAGCUAUGGGUCUCUGUGUGUCGCUAUGGGGCGCUGUGGGUCUCUAUAGGUCUCUAUGGGGCACUAUGGGGCGCUAUGGGUCUCUAUGGGGCGCUAUGGGGCACUAUGGGUCUCUAUGGGUCUCUGUGGUUCUCUAUGGGGCACUAUGGGUUUCUAUGGGUCUCUGUGGGUCGCUAUGGGGCCCUGGGGGUCGCUAUGGGGCACAACGGGUCGCUAUGGGGCACAAUGGGUCGCUAUGGGGCACUAUGGGGCACUAUGGGUCUCUAUGGGUCUCUGUGUAUCGCUAUGGGUCUCUGUGUGUCGCUAUGGGGCACUAUGGGUCUCUAUGGGUCUCUAUGAGGACCUGUGGGUCUCUAUGGGUCACUAUGGGGAGCUAUGGGUCUCUGUGUGUCGCUAUGGGGCGCUGUGGGUCUCUAUGGGUCGCUAUGGGGCACUAUGGGGCACAAUGGGUCGCUAUGGGGCACUAUGGGGCACUAUGGGGCACUAUGUGUUUCUAUGGGUCUCUAUGGGUCCCUAUGGUUCUCUAUGGGAUCUCUGUGGGUCUCUGUGGGUCACUAUGGGUCGCUGUGGGUCUCUAUGGGUCCCUAUGGGUCACUAUGGUUCCCUAUGGGUCGCUAUGUGUCUCUAUGGGUCCCUAUGGAUCUCUAUGGGUCUCAAUGGGUCGCUGUGGGUCCCUAUGGGGCAAUAUGGAUCUCUAUGUGUCUCUAUGGGUCUCUAUGGGUCUCUAUGGGUCUCAGUGGGUCACUGUGGGUCUCAGUGGGUCGCUGUGGUUCUCUAUGGGUUGCUGUGGGUCGCAGUGGGUCGCUAUGGGUCUCUAUGGGUCGCUAUGGGUCCCUAUGGGUCUCUUUGGGAUCUCUGUGGGUCUCUAUGGGUCGCUAUGGGUCUCUAUGGUUCCCUAUGGGUCGCUAUGGGUUGCUAUGGGUCUCUGUGGUUCUCUAUGGGUCCCUAUGGUUCUCUAUGGGAUCUCUGUGGGUCUCUGUGGGUCACUAUGGGUCUCUGUGGGUCUCUAUGGGUCUCUAUGGAAUCUCUAUGGGUCACUAUGGAUCUCUAUGGCUCCCUAUGGGUCGCUAUGGGUCACUGUGGGUCUCUAUGGUUCCCUAUGGGUCGCUAUGGGUCCCUAUAGGUCUCUAUGGGUCUCUGUGGUUCUCUAUGGGGCACUAUGGGUUUCCGUGGGUCUCUAUGGGUCUCUAUGGUUCUCUAUGGGUCUCAGUGGGUCUCAGUGGGUCUCAGUGGGUCUCAGUGGGUCGCAGUGGGUCGCAGUGGGUCGUGGUGGGGCCCGGCGCUGACGCGGCGCUGACGCGGUUUCCUGCAGGUCGCCAUUGCGGCGCCGCCGCCAUCGCCCCACG